rnacentral:rRNA from 1 species
UUGAACGCACCUUGCGCCCCUUGGUAUUCCGAGGGGCACACCCGUUUGAGUGUCGUGAAAAUCUCAACCUUCUCGGUUUCUUCUGGACACCGAAGGAGGCUUGGACUUUGGAGGUCUUUGCUGGUGUCUCUCGCCAGCUCCUCUCAAAUGAAUUAGCGGGGUCCUCUUUGCCGAUCCUCGACAUGUGAUAAGAUGUUUCCGUGUCUUGGUUUAUGGCUCUGUCGCUUUUGGGACCCGCUUCUAACCGUCUCGACGAGACAAUGUUUGAGCGUGUCUCCCUACUCGGGAAACACUCUCGAACCCACGAACCCUUGACCUCAAAUCGGGUGAGACUACCCGCUGAACUUAAGCAUAUCAAUAAGCGGAGG